rnacentral:rRNA from 1 species
GACGAACGCUGGCGGCGUGCUUAACACAUGCAAGUCGAACGGAAAGGCCCUGCUUGCAGGGUACUCGAGUUGCGAACGGGUGAGUAACACGUGGGUGAUCUGCCCUGCACUUCGGGAUAAGCCUGGUAAACUGGGUCUAAUACCGGACAGGAGCCAUUUUUAGUGUGAUGGUUGGAAAGUUUUUUCGGUGUAGGAUGAGCUCGCGGCCUAUCAGCUUGUUGGUGGGGUAAUGGCCUACCAAGGCGGCGGCGGGUAGCCGGACUGAGAGGGUGGACCGCCACACUGGGUCUGAGAGACGGCCCCGGCACGGACGGGAGGGAGAAGUGGGGAAGCUUGAACGAGGGGCGCAAGCCGGAUGCAGAGGCGCCGCGGAGGGGAGGACGGCCUUAGGGUUGAAAAACACUUUCGCUAGGGACGAAGCUUUUUGUGACGGUACCUAGAUAAGAAGCACCGGCUAACUACGUG